rnacentral:rRNA from 1 species
AGUCGCACGGGCAGGGCAACCUGUCAGUGGCGGACGGGUGAGUAACGCGUAGGAAUCUAUCCUUGGGUGGGGGACAACCGUGGGAAACUACGGCUAAUACCGCAUGAUCCCUGAGGGGCAAAGGCGAAAGUCGCCUGAGGAGGAGCCUGCGUCUGAUUAGGUAGUUGGUGGGGUAAAGGCCUACCAAGCCUGCGAUCAGUAGCUGGUCUGAGAGGAUGAUCAGCCACACUGGGACUGAGACACGGCCCAGACUCCUACGGGAGGCAGCAGUGGGGAAUAUUGGACAAUGGGCGAAAGCCUGAUCCAGCAAUGCCGCGUGGAUGAAGAAGGUCUUCGGAUUGUAAAGUCCUUUUGGCGGGGACGAUGAUGACGGUACCCGCAGAAUAAGCUCCGGCUAACUUCGUGCCAGCAGCCGCGGUAAUACGAAGGGGGCUAGCGUUGCUCGGAAUGACUGGGCGUAAAGGGCGCGUAGGCGGACGGCACAGUCAGGCGUGAAAUUCCUGGGCUCAACCUGGGGACUGCGCCUGAGACGUGUUGUCUUGAGUAUGGAAGAGGGUUGUGGAAUUUCCAGUGUAGAGGUGAAAUUCGUAGAUAUUGGAAAGAACACCGGUGGCGAAGGCGGCAACCUGG